AGUUUGAAAGAUGCAAUUGCAUCACUCAAAGAUGAUCCCGCGUUGUAUUAGCUAGUUGGUGAGGUAAAGGCUCACCAAGGCGAUGAUACAUAGCCGACCUGAGAGGGUGAUCGGCCACAUUGGGACUGAGACACGGCCCAAACUCCUACGGGAGGCAGCAGUAGGGAAUCUUCGGCAAUGGACGAAAGUCUGACCGAGCAACGCCGCGUGAGUGAAGAAGGUUUUCGGAUCGUAAAACUCUGUUGGUAGAGAAGAACGUUGGUGAGAGUGGAAAGCUCAUCAAGUGACGGUAACUACCCAGAAAGGGACGGCUAACUACGUGCCAGCAGCCGCGGUAAUACGUAGGUCCCGAGCGUUGUCCGGAUUUAUUGGGCGUAAAGCGAGCGCAGGUGGUUUAUUAAGUCUGGUGUAAAAGGCAGUGGCUCAACCAUUGUAUGCAUUGGAAACUGGUAGACUUGAGUGCAGGAGAGGAGAGUGGAAUUCCAUGUGUAGCGGUGAAAUGCGUAGAUAUAUGGAGGAACACCGGUGGCGAAAGCGGCUCUCUGGCCUGUAACUGACACUGAGGCUCGAAAGCGUGGGGAGCAAACAGGAUUAGAUACCCUGGUAGUCCACGCCGUAAACGAUGAGUGCUAGAUGUAGGGAGCUAUAAGUUCUCUGUAUCGCAGCUAACGCAAUAAGCACUCCGCCUGGGGAGUACGACCGCAAGGUUGAAACUCAAAGGAAUUGACGGGGGCCCGCACAAGCG
rnacentral:rRNA from 1 species